GGAGUUAGCCGGUGCUUCUUCUGUGAGUGAUGUCCUUCCUGCCGGCUAUUAACCCGCAGGCCUUCUUCCUCACUGAAAGUGCUUUACAACCCGAAGGCCUUCUUCACACACGCGGCAUGGCUGGAUCAGGGUUGCCCCCAUUGUCCAAUAUUCCCCACUGCUGCCUCCCGUAGGAGUCUGGGCCGUGUCUCAGUCCCAGUGUGGCUGAUCAUCCUCUCAGACCAGCUACGGAUCGUCGCCUUGGUGAGCCGUUACCUCACCAACCAGCUAAUCCGACAUAGGCUCAUCCGAUAGCGCGAGGCCCGAAGGUCCCCCGCUUUCCCCCGUAGGGCGUAUGCGGUAUUAGCCUGGGUUUCCCCAGGUUAUCCCCCACUACCGGGCAGAUUCCUAUGCAUUACUCACCCGUCCGCCGCUCGCCACCAGGGAGCAAGCUCCCCGUGCUGCCGCUCGACUUGCAUGUGUUAGGCCUGCCGCCAGCGUUCAAUCUGAGCCAGUAGACUAACCUAACCUUCGUACGUACGUAGACGGGCCGGGUCGGUCGGACGGACGGGCGACUAGU
rnacentral:rRNA from 1 species